rnacentral:lncRNA from 1 species
GGACCGGUCAAAUUUCUCCGCGGACCGGUGCCGGUCCGCCGGACCAGCAGUUGAGAAACACUGAUCUAUAGUAUAAUGGUAUUUAUCAUUCCUCAGAAUGUUGAAUGUUAUAGAUUUCUUCUAAAGGCUAUAGGGCAGCCAACUUUUUCUCUAUCUUCUUCCUCAAGGUACUUAUAGAUCUGUCAUAUAGCAGCAUACAGUAUAGAGGAUAUCUACAUAUGGAAGAACAGGAUACAAGUGUGCAUUGGGAUAGGAUAGAAGGAAGGAUCCAUGUUACUUAUCUCAAGAUAUAUCUUAUGCUUAAACAUAUAAGAAUAAUCAUGAUUAUAUCCAAUCCACAUAAAUUCAUAUUCUCAUUUUCUCACUACAGAAUGCUUGCAAUGGAUAAACAUUCUCUUAAAAAGUUCUCUAAAAGCAGACUUUUUUUAAUAAGUAACAGUCAUAUGACCAUGCUGGCAUUAUGAUCAAGGCAUAUGAUGACUUAAAAUAGACAGCUGUCCAAUAAUCAGAAGUGGAGAUGUCAAUGUCAACCUCCAAGAAAUGGAUAUAUUUUGUAAUAACUUGAUCUAACGAGAGACAAGUCAAGAAAUUCAUCCUCCAUAGAUAACAUCAAAUUCCAUCCAUCAUGUCUCCUUUCUCAGGCUGUAUAGAUAUUAUUUAUAUAUCUAUAGAAAAGUUUGAUGGAGAAUAAGCACAGUUCAAUGGCAGGAAACAUUAAAUCUUAG